GAACAAACAUUUAAUAAUUGGCUCUUCAGUCUUUGCAGAGAAAGGUCUAUCCUAAUCCGAUGGCUGGAAGUUGAAGUUAGACCAAUCCAGACUGGAGAUAGGA